rnacentral:rRNA from 1 species
CCUACGGGAGGCAGCAGUGGGGAAUAUUGGGCAAUGGGCGCAAGCCUGACCCAGCAACGCCGCGUGAAGGAAGAAGGCCCUCGGGUUGUAAACUUCUUUUGUCAGGGACGAAGCAAGUGACGGUACCUGACGAAUAAGCCACGGCUAACUACGUGCCAGCAGCCGCGGUAAUACGUAGGUGGCACGCGUUAUUCGGAUGUACUGGGUGUAAAGGGCGGGUAGGCGGGGAAGCAAGUCAGAUGUGAAAUUCAAGGGCUCAACCCUGGAACUGCAGUUGAAACGGUUUUUCUUGAGUGAUGGAGAGGCAGGCGGAAUUCCGUGUGUAGCGGUGAAAUGCGUAGAUAUACGGAGGAACACCAGUGGCGAAGGCGGCCUGCUGGACAUUAACUGACGCUGAGGCGCGAAAGCGUGGGGAGCAAACAGGAUUAGAUACCCCUGUAGUC